rnacentral:rRNA from 1 species
UGUGCUCGGGUCCUAAAGGCUAAAUACUUUCCGAGCACUGAUCUUUUACAUGCUAGGCCGAAGACUGGUUCGUCGCUUACUUGGCAGAGUAUUGUGGCUGACCUUAAUACUUUCAAAAGAGGAUACAUUUGGCGAAUCGGAUCACGGGAGAAUGUUGAUAUUUGGAGAGACCCUUGGAUUCCUUCGAGUCCAGAUAGGAGAGUUAUAACACCUCGAGGUCAUACAGUGAUAUCUAGAGUGGUAGAACUCAUUGAUCCGGUCACUACACAGUGGGUUGAGGAACUAAUUCGGGAUAUCUUUUAUCCUGUGGACACUACUAGGAUUUUGCAGAUUCCACUUAACUUUCAGGCCUUUGAUGAUUUCAUAGCGUGGCACCUUACAAAACACGGUAGAUUCAUGGUCCGAAGCGCAUACCAUGAAUAG